rnacentral:rRNA from 1 species
CCUACGGGUCGCUGCAGUGGAGAAUAUUGGGCAAUGGGCGCAAGCCUGACCCAGCAACGCCGCGUGAAGGAAGAAGGCUUUCGGGUUGUAAACUUCUUUUAUCAGGGACGAAGCCAGUGACGGUACAUGAUGAAUAAUCCACGGGUAAGUACGUGCCAGCAGACGCGGUAAUAGGUAGGUGGGAAGAGUUAUCCGGAUUUACUGUGUGUAAAGGGCGUGUAGGCGGGAGUGCAAGUACGAGUGGAAAGAUAUGGGCUCAACCCAUAGCAUGCAUUUGAAACUGUAAUUCUUGAGUGCUGGAGAGGCAAUCGGAAUUCCGUGUGUAGCGGUGGAAUGCGUAGAUAUACGGAGGAACACCAGUGGCGAAGGCGGAUUGCUGAACAGUAACUGACGCUGAGGCGCGAAAGCGUGGGGAGCAAACAGGAUUAGAUACCCCGGUAGUC